rnacentral:rRNA from 1 species
AUUGAACGCUGGCGGCAUGCCUAACACAUGCAAGUCGAACGCGUGGCAGACGGGAGUGUAAUGUCUGGGAACCUGCCUGAUGGGGGGGGAUAACUACUGGAAAGGGUAGCUAAUACCGCAAACCAGCAGCUGAGCCCAGAUGGGAUUAGCUUGUUGGUGGGGUAACGGCUCACCAAGGCCACGAUCCCUAGCUGGUCUGAGAGGAUGACCAGCCACACUGGAACUGAGACACGGCCCAGACUCCUACGGGAGGCAGCAGUGGGGAAUAUUGCGCAAUGGGCGCAAGUCUGAUGCAGCCAUGCCGCGUGUAUGAAGAAGGCCUUCGGGUUGUAAAGGACUUUCAGCGGGGAGGCGUUACCCGCAGAAGAAGCACCGGCUAACUCCGUGCCAGCAGCCGCGGUAAUAC